UGGGGUUAUAUGUUCUGGGGAGAAACACCAUAGAAGUAAAGCGCCAUUGUCAUCCCAUCACAUCAAGGGUUUCAAGAUAUAACCUUGAAGCAAACCUCAGAAGCCUUUUUUCUUAGCCUUAAAAUAGACUCCAUGUCUCUUUAUUUCUCACCAUAUAUAUUCCCUUCACAUUUAUCUAACCGCACACUAGUAUCUACUUAUUUGCCUUUUUAAAAGUUCUAGGGACUAAUCUUGAGACAGACAAACCAAGCCUGGAGUCCCAGCUGCAAAAUUCCAGAGAUCACUUCAAGGUGGCUGAUUAACAACCUGGCCAUUGGUGAGAUUAUGCUGGCCCAUGAUCGAGGUGGACUGGGACUCAAGAGAGCCACCAAAACAAGACACAUAGACAACUCAGCGCAAUUCUUGCAAGUUGUCCUUAUCAAGUUUUUGCCUUUUAAACUCCUGUCUUCUUCCCCAAAAUUCAAGUGGUUGCUUUGGAUGGGAAU
rnacentral:lncRNA from 10 species